rnacentral:rRNA from 1 species
ACUCCUACGGGAGGCAGCAGUAGGGAAUCUUCCACAAUGGACGAAAGUCUGAUGGAGCAACGCCGCGUGAGUGAAGAAGGGUUUCGGCUCGUAAAACUCUGUUGUUAAAGAAGAACAUAUCUGAGAGUAACUGUUCAGGUAUUGACGGUAUUUAACCAGAAAGCCACGGCUAACUACGUGCCAGCAGCCGCGGUAAUACGUAGGUGGCAAGCGUUGUCCGGAUUUAUUGGGCGUAAAGCGAGCGCAGGCGGUUUUUAAGUCUGAUGUGAAAGCCUUCAGCUCAACCGAAGAAGUGCAUCGGAAACUGGGAAACUUGAGUGCAGAAGAGGACAGUGGAACUCCAUGUGUAGCGGUGAAAUGCGUAGAUAUAUGGAAGAACACCAGUGGCGAAGGCGGCUGUCUGGUCUGUAACUGACGCUGAGGCUCGAAAGUAUGGGUAGCAAACAGGAUUAGAUACCCUGGUAGGAUAGCG